GGCCGGGCCAAGACGGAGAGUGGCAGACCCAGGAGCGGUCAGGCAGUGUGCUCUCCGGCAGGGGUGGAAGCACACCGCGGUUAAGAGCCCUGUGUCGGGGUCUGAUUCCCCUGUCCGCAGUCCUGGCUUCGCCAUUUGCCAGCCGUGGAGGUUGCCCCGGGACACACAGGUUGGCAUCACACCGGCCAAGGUCGUUAAGCAUCGACAAUGAAUGCACAAAACAUCCAGAGGACAUAGGAACCUUUCAACUCGGCCAUGGCUUUCAGUGAGGAAGAUUUGAACACAGGAAGACUCACUCACCCAUGUGACCUGAGGUGAGGGCCCAUCGAGGAGAAUGCAGGAGAGAUUCGUCCAGGCCAAGCCAAUGAGACAAGAGCAGAGUGCUAGGCUCCUACCUUCCUCCCCAGGAAGAUGACAAGGUGGCGCAGCCCUAUCAGGAAACACCCGGAAUGUCAGCACUCACAUACGAACGUCCGCCGAGCACGAUAACCCACGUAGUCACUCAGGCACCGAGGGACAAAAGUAGGC